rnacentral:sRNA from 1 species
UAUCUUCAGAACUGGUAUAGCAUGGGCAGUAGCAGUGCAAGCUACCCUGCGUUGCCCAUCAAGGGGCAGCCCUGACCUGGAGGACCAUGUUUAGGGCUG